rnacentral:rRNA from 1 species
AGCUCCAAUAGCGUAUAUUAAAGUUGUUGCGGUUAAAAAGCUCGUAGUUGGAUUUCUGGCGAGAACGACCGGUCCGCCUCUGGGGGUGAGUAUCUGGUUCGAUCUGGUCAUCUGCGAUGUUAUCGCUACUGCACUUGAUUGUGUGGUGCGAGCACAUUGCCAUUUACUUUGAGGAAUUCGAGUGUUUCAAGCAGGCAACC